UCCAACCUCCCACCCGUGUCUAUCGUACCUUGUUGCUUCGGCGGGCCCGCCGUUUCGACGGCCGCCGGGGAGGCCUUGCGCCCCCGGGCCCGCGCCCGCCGAAGACCCCAACAUGAACGCUGUUCUGAAAGUAUGCAGUCUGAGUUGAUUAUCGUAAUCAGUUAAAACUUUCAACAACGGAUCUCUUGGUUCCGGCAUCGAUGAAGAACGCAGCGAAAUGCGAUAAGUAAUGUGAAUUGCAGNAAUUCAGUGAAUCAUCGAGUCUUUGAACGCACAUUGCGCCCCCUGGUAUUCCGGGGGGCAUGCCUGUCCGAGCGUCAUUGCUGCCCUCAAGCACGGCUUGUGUGUUGGGCCCCCGUCCCCCUCUCCCGGGGGACGGGCCCGAAAGGCAGCGACGGCACCGCGUCCGGUCCUCGAGCGUAUGGGGCUUUGUCACCUGCUCUGUAGGCCCGGCCGGCGCCAGCCGACACCCAACUUUAUUUUUCUAAGGUUGACCUCGGAUCAGGUAGGGAUACCCGCUGAACUUAAGCAUAUCAAUAAGCGGAGGAAAAGAAACCAACAGGG
rnacentral:rRNA from 1 species